rnacentral:lncRNA from 1 species
GCUCUCCAGGUGGGAGGCAGAGGAGAAAGAGCAGCAUUAGUCAUUUUCGAAGCUCGAGCACCAUGGAUGCCAAGUCCGUGUAUUCCUCAUCGAGUUCAGGGUUUCGAACACCUCCUCCUUAUAGCCAUGCACAAACAGCAGCCUCCAAGAGCUAUAAAUAUUUGAGAAGCUAUUCGGAUAAUCAACAUCAGCACCAGCACCAACAACAACAUUUAUCUAAGCAAUUGCUUCAGCAAGCGCAGUUGUUCUUCUCUAAUACCUACAUGCAGGCCCAAGCUCUACAUUCCAAUAGUAACACCUCUACUCAAUCUCCUUCAAGUGGGUAUUACCAUGGUCCAAGACGCAGACCUGAGCAACAGCAGCAGUCACAAGGCUCAUCUGGGACUUCCUCGAGUGGGAUGUUGUCACUCUGCCCUCCCGUUACACAUUCUAAUAUGAGCACCAAUGAUCCUGCAAAGGCGGCAGCUACUACAGCUGCCAGCAACAUGAAAGGCGGUAACUUAUCCUUGCAUGCUCUUAUGCAUGAUCAGUUUGCUGCAGCACAAUCCUCCGGGCCACACCAGCUUGUACCUGUAGGUUUCCCUUAUGUACAUGCUGCUGUUCCUAGUACGGUCCAGGUAAAACCGGCAGAACAGAAGAAACAACCCGCCGGUGAGUAGAACAGUUAUCCCUUGGCGCAACAUUGCAACCCCCCCCCAAAAUUUUACGGAUGAAAAACUGGAAAAGGAAGCUGAAAUCAGUUUAGGUGGCGGGGAUUGUGUACGAAAAGCUUGAUUCUUGCCCAAGGAAACGAGAAUUUGCAUUCUCCCUCUGGCAGCCUAAGAAGAAGUGGAAGAAAAAGCAAGAACAAGACACCGGGAAGGUCUAGGUGGAAUGGAAUUUGAACCCACAAUUUUGGGAUGAAAGUUUAGCAGGAUGGGAAAUUGCAGGAAAAGUUGGGAUGUUUUGUUGGGGCAGAAAGAGAGAAGAACGGCAUAAGAGGAGGAUGUCACCCAAAUCCAAGUCCGGCGAGCUCACGGACCUCAAGCUAGAAUCCAGGUCCGUCUCUCAGCUAACUCUCAUCUCUCUCUCGGUCCGUACACCCCUCAAGCCCACUCGUCUCCAUAGCUCCACCGUCAACUAUUACAUUUCCCUCAAAGCCGCUGUCCAUCCACGUGGUGCUGAGCUUGAUCGCGGCCGGGUCAAAAGGUCCGACCAAGGACCAGCUGCUCUCGCUCCUCCUGUAGCAGCACCGUCAGCAGCAGUACCCCACCCACGUUUUGGUUCGAUAAGCUACCCUCCUCCAAUAUAGCAAAGUCCAAAGUCAUCGAGAACUUCAAGGUUCUGGGCGUCAAUUUCGUCCUGGGUGAUCUGUACGAUCACGAGAGCUCGGUGAAUGUGAUCAAGCAAGUCGACGUGGUGAUCUCGACGGUGAAACAUGGUCAGUUGGCUGAUCAGGGAAAUAUCAUUACUUACGCAGGCAGCUCGUUUUUAAAGUCCAUGCGGAGCAGAUGUUUGUUGGACAUGGAGAUCGGUUAUCCAAUGUCAUCCAAACAGAAACUCAAAGCCGGAGAUCAUGAGAGCAGCCGAAGAAAGAGAGAUGUUCUCCGCUCCCUGCUGCUAUCGACUCCCUCAAAGUUCAGACGGCUGCUCCUUGUUCCUCUCUGCCCAACGAGAGUCCCAUCCGUGAGCCCAGAUACCACAAUGUGCACCCUCGUCUCGGCCGAUAGCAACGGAAAGGCAGCAGCAAAGUGGUGACAUUCGGAGACCGUAAGCCCACCGUAAUUCUCUCUCCGUCUCUCUUAGACGAACAACAAUAGUGUCGCUCACUCCAGGACCAGCUGCUCUUGCACCUCCCGUGGUAGCACCGUCGGCAGCAAGCAAGUCAUCUUCCUCCGUGCUCCUCCUUCUUCCUCCUCCAAGCUCCAAUCCUGCACCCUAUAUAUAUAUAUAUAUAUAUAUCUAUAUGUAUGUACGUACGUAUGUAUGUAUGCAUGAAAAGGACAAAAAAAAAAUAAUAAUAAUAAUUUAUAAAAAAAGGGAAAAGAUGAGACAUGGUGCACCCGGCACCGAAAGCGAAAAUAAAAUAAAAUAAAAUAAUAAAAUAAUAAAAAAAAAUAUAUAUAUAUAUAAUAAUAAUAAUAAUAAAUAUAAAAAAUGAUGGUGUCAGCCAUCACCCUAAAAUAUAUAUAUAUAUAUAUAAUAAUAGGUGCAUGAUUAAAAAAACAAAAAAAAAAAGGAAAUGAAGGUGGUGGUGCGUCUGGCACCAUGUGAUAAAAAAAAAGGGAAGUGGUAGGUGCAUCCAGCACCGAAAAAAAAUAAAAAAAAAUGAGGGAGCAUCUAGCACCAUGAGAAACAUAUACAAAUAAUAUAUAUAUAUAUAUAUAUAUAUAUAUAUAUAUAUAUAUAUAUAUAUAUAUAUAUAUAUAUAUAUAAUGCAUUUAGUAAAGUCCAUCUUUUAUUUAUUUCUCUAAAAAAUUUACAUAAAUUCGCGUUUCGCAUGUCAUAAAAAUUAAAAAAAAAAGAAAAAAAAAAGACAAAUCAAAUUUACAGGAGGGGAUCUUCAAGGUUGCUUGUUUGAAGCCGUACCACUCGGCGGAACUCCAGGAAGAAGAGGAGCCAAAGGUUGAUCAUCUGGAGCUUCAUUACGCGGUACAGCCCCAGAAGAUGAAGGCAAAUGCUGAUGGAACAAACCCACAAACCUCUGAUGAUCAAGUAAAAUCUGACCAUCAGAUUCCUGCAUCUGGUCAAUCUUCCUCUUCAUGUUUGUCGCAUAGUUAUGUGCGAGUUUAUGCAACUGUUUAUUCUCCUGCUUGAGCCCUCUAAUCUCCUGUUUGAGACUCAUCACUUCAGCCGCCAAUGAUUCAACUUGACGGGUUCGAGCAAAUAGGCGUUGGGCCAUAUUAGACACAGAACCUGCACACUGCACACUGAGAGCCAGAGAAUCCUUAACAGCCAACUCAUCAGACCGUUUGGAAAGUAGUCUGUUAUCUCUGGGAGUGACAAGGUUUCGGGCCACCACCGCAGCGGUCAUAUCAUUCUUCACCACCGAAUCCCCAACGGUAAGAGGACCAGUAGGGGAUAUGAAGGAUGGGCGCCAUAUGUUGUCUGGAGAAGGUGGGACUGCCUCUUCACCAAGGUUCAAAUCAAAACGACGGUCAAAGGGUCCAGACAUUUUCAAAGGUGUUGAAGAAAUAAAAGGUCGGACAAAUCAAGAUCUUAGAAGUGCAAGAAUGGAGUUUCUACAAGCGAAAAUUCAAGUGUGCUUUGAAACGAACUGCAUGCCUCUAUAAAAAUCAGCACUCAAUGAGAUUUCAGAGAUCGAAGAGGCGAGCUCAGAAUUCGAAGAGGUCAUUCAAAAAUCGAAAAGGCAAGCUCAUAAAUCGGAGAAGCAUCUUGCUUUUCCAGACGCGUCGGCACCCAUCACACGUAAACUCAGCUUUGCGGAAAUCACGGGCAAUUUGUCGAAGCGCCGAUCCUAGAUAUCGAAGAAGCGCUAGUCUUUUUCAGCCUCGUCAACACCUGUCAUAUGCACACUCAGCUUGGCGAAAAUUACGGACAAUUUGUCGAAGAUUUCUGAUAAGAAGAAAGCACGUGAAGCCAUACCGAUCAAUCACGCAUUGGUUGCCGACACGAGUAAAAGAAUAGUACCUCUACAGGUACUAAAGAAUUUCCUAUAACUGUCCACCUUCACCUUCCAUAGCAAGGCAGGCAUACAGAACCUUUCUUCAUCUCUGAGAACCUUUCUUCAUCUCCGAGAAUGUCUUCCCAACAAAGCCUCUCGGGUCACUCAGUGUUCCUUAUUCCUUGGGGUACCUCUGCAAACAAAUGACACCAAAGCAAAAGUAUCUCAUAUCACCAAGGUAGAAAGCAAAAGUAUCUUAUAUCAUGCACUCUCCCUGUCCUUUCAUUUGUCCUUGUUUUUACCUGCAAAGACAAGGAUAAAGAAAGCAAUAUGCCGGAACCUCCACUCAAACUCGGGUAAGGAACCGACUGCUUGGAACCCUUCCCUGAUUGCCUACCUAGCACUGCUCUCGAGUACUCGUCUCCCACUGUUGCUGUACUUCCAAAGAAGCUGUCACAUCUACCUGGAGAACAGAUAAGGCAAGUGAAAAUGAUACCUUGCAGCAUGUGGAGACAACGUGCAGAAGGAACAAGCAGAGAAGAAUGCGGUCUGCACAGUCAACUCAGCAGAAGGAAUCCGAGCUGAAGAACUCGAGAAACUGCCACAUCUGCCUGAAGAAACAAGCAGAAGAAUGCAGCAUGCACAGUUAACUCAGCAGAAAGAGUCUGAGAUGAAGAACUCGAGAAGAUGCCACAUCUGCCUGAGGAACAGAUAAAGCAAGGGAAAAUAAUACAUUGAAGCAUGUGGAGACAAGUGCAACAAAGCACGUGCUGAGUCAUCCGCUACUUCUUCAAAAUCAAAAGUAUCUCAUAUCAUCAGGGUUGAAAUCAUUCUGGACGGUGAACUUGUUUUGACCCUCAAAUUCUUGGGUCGACUUACUAGGCGUUGUGGGCUGCACGUGCCGAUUCACCACCCUUGAAUCAAAUCCUUAAAGAUCAAGUCACCAACUGGAAGAAUAGCCCAUCAAUCUUGAAGAUCACACCGUUGACCAAACUGCUCAGGUGUGAAUUAGAAAGAUUGAACAAAGCAACAAGUCGUCACCUUCACCUCGUGCCUGCUUGCCAUGUGUUCGAGUUAACCUUCAAGAAUCAAGCCUCAACGGCCCUUGAAGAAGUUUCCAGCCAAAUUCAAGAUCAAGCCUCGAUGGCCCUUGAGGAAAUCACAAGUCCGAUUCAAGAUCAAGUGUCUAUCACCCUUGAAUCAAAACCAGUUCAAGAAUAAGCUGUGGAAAGUCAACAAGUGCAACAAAAUACGUGCCGAUUCAUCCACUACCAAAGCCAAGGAUCAUCUACCACAUGAAGCUCCUUGUGGUCCAAUUUCAACCUUCAAGAUCAAGCCUCGACGGCCCUUGAAGAAAUUUCAAACAAAAGUUCAAGAACAAGCCUCAACGGCCCUUGAAGAAAUCUCCAGCCCAAUUCAAGAUCAAGCCUCGACGGCCCUUGGAUCGACAUCUACAGUAAGGGACUUCAAAACGCAUCUCCUACACGUGACAAGCACAUGUAUACGACGUGCCUUGAAGUGGGGGCAUUUGUAGACAUCGAAAUUUCGGUAAAUAAAUGUUGACCGAUAAAUCAAAGUGUCAACGCUCAUGUAUUACAUAAAUUUUACACAUAGCGUGUGACUCAACGAAAAUUGAAAUGAGUUGGAAAAGUCAUCAAAUAGGACACGUGUCAACACCUGGCAGAAACGACUUAUUUCAUCUGGGAUAUUAUAUUCAAAAUUAGGCCUUGGAAAAUUUUAUAAAUACAAGCCAAUUUCAUUCAUUUGGGGGGAACCAAAAUCAUUAAGCAAGCUCUGAAGCUCUGAAACUCUGAAACUCCGAAGCUCUCAAGCAUCCAGGUUCCCGAAGAAUCAAGAAAGCUCUCUUCGUUCUUCGUUCAUCGUUCUUCCAAGAUCAAGCCCCAACGGCCCUUUAGAUCAACAAUCAUCCACCAAUUCAAGAUCAAGCCCCGACGGCCCUUGAAGAAAGCAUCGCCGUUCAUCAUCCGUUCAUCCAAGAUCAAGCCCCAACGGCCUUUUGGAUUAACAACGUCGACAAAUCCACACACAUCCAACCGUUCUUCAAGAUUAAGCCCAAAAGCCCUUGAAGAUCUGUUCAUCACUGUUUCUUCAAGAUCAAGCCCAAAAGCCCUCGAAGAUCCGUUCAUCACCGUUCCUCAAGAUCAAGCCCCAACGGCUCCUUGAAGAUCCGCUCAAAUCCACUUUCAAAGAUCAAGCCCACGGCCCUUAAAGAACGUUCAUCCAAGAUCAAGCAUCGACGGCCCUUGGAUCAAUCGCACAUCCACCAAUCAACACCUUACAGAGAUCAAAUCAGAGGAUCAAAUUAGAGAGAGAUUGUAACCCAAAACUAUCAAAAUACAAAUAUUUGUUUGUGCACGUUGUUCUUGUCUCUUUUGUUUCAGGAAUUUUCCGUGUUUACAAUAAUAACUAUAAAUAAUAUUGUAAAAUGUAUGUUAUAAAUAUUUUUAACGAAUUCAUAACGAAUCGAACUGAAUAUCGUACUGUCUAUGUGUACCUUAUGACGAAUGGUACUUUAGGUUACUACCGAAUUCCGUACCCGAAUUGAACCACGAACUCGAACCGAACCCGUAUCUAGCAAUUAUUGGAAACAUUUUUUUUUUUUGGUUUUUUUUACUGAUAUUAGUAGUUUUUUAGGGUUUAAUUAUUUGAUUUCACAAAUUCAUUAGACACAUUACAUUGUUACAUUUUAAAUUCGUAUUUCAUAACUUGGUUGCUUGAUUCUAAUGUCGAUCCGUUACAACAGAAGUGAACUUUUUCUACUUUAAGCAUGGAAUUUUUGCUUUUGUUUUUAUUGUUGUUGCCUUGAUUGUGGUUAUCUGACUUAUUAAUACUCCAUCAUAUAUUGAGCAAUAUCAUGCGGCUCAAAGAAUUUCGUUAUGUGUUUACGCGUAUUUUGUAACAUCCCACAUCGACUAGGGGAGUGAUCCUUAAAUAUAUAUUCUCAUCCCUACCUAGCAUGAGUCAUUUUGGGAGCUCACUGGCUUCGGGUUCCGUAGGAACUCCGAAGUUAAGCAAGAAUGGGCCAAGAGCAAUCCCAUGAUGGGUGACCCACUGGGAAGUUGCUCGUGAGUUCCCAGAAACAAAACCGUGAGGGAAUGGUAAGCCCAAAGCGGACAAUAUCGUGCUACGAUGGUAGAGCAGGUCCGGGAAGUGAUAUGCCUCGGGUCGGGAAGUGACAAAUGGUAUCAGAGCCAAUCCUUGGCCGGAAGUGUGUCAAUGAGGACGUUGGGCCCCUAAGGGGGGUGGAUUGUAACAUCCCACAUCGCCCAUGGGAGUGAUCCUUAAAUGUAUAUUCUCAUCCCUACCUAGCACGAGACCUUUUGGGAGCUCACUGGCUUCGGGUUCCGUAGGAACUCCGAAGUUAAGCAAGAAUGGACCAAGAGCAAUCCCAUGAUGGGUGACCUACUGGGAAGUUGUUCGUGAGUUCCCAGAAACAAAAUCGUGAGGGAAUGGUAAGCCCAAAGCGGACAAUAUAGUGCUACGGUGGUGGAACAGGCCUGGGAAGUGAUUCGCUCCGAGCCGGGAUAUGACAUAUUUUGUCCUCUGAAUAAUUCUAAUCAAAUUCCAUUGCUCCUAAGCUAAGGUCAAAAUUUGUAGCAUAUAAGGGAAGGUUAGCAGAUACUUACCAAUUAUCCAGAGCUGGAUAUUAAGGUCUAAUUAACAUUAAUAUCUUUUUGUUUGUGUAGCAUCUGCUUGGAAAAGGUUUCAACUUUAUUUUUUAUUUGUUUGAUGAUCAAUUGAUGUAUUUUAUAAAAGUUGAUCUGCAAGAUGUUAAGAUGAUUUCUUUGUUUAUGUAUACUGUUUAAUUAUAUCAAUGGAAAUUGGUGCUGCCAUUGUGGCAGUAGAUGAAUUUCUGGCUUUUGAGAUGAAGUACUAAAAAAUUUUGAUUUCUUUUUUCUUUGCAUGCUUUUCUUUUAAUUUUGCAGGAAUUCUCACGUUGCUUUGAUUAAGUUAUACAUGGCCAUGAUAAGGUAUUGCUCACCCCCACAACAUUUUGUACAUGUGUGGCAUUAAUAUAUUUUGUUUUCUGAUUGAAUUUGUUUUCAUUCAAUGGGGUUGGUGAGCUAAAUAGCAAGUGGCUUUUUAAUCGUGUUUAAAUUGAUGUCCUAAUUUCGUUGGUUUUGUUCAUAAUUAGUGUGUUAUGUUGUUUUCCUGUGUGUUUUAUGUGUUUGUUAAUUUAUGGGAGUCUUCACAAGAAAUGUUGUGUACAAAAAUAUUUUUCUUCCAUCAUAUGUAUGAUAACAUUACAUUCAUUCUUUUAAUGUUUAAUUCACUUUUCAAAGCCAUGUAGAUAAAUACAUUUAAAUUGUAUAAAUCGCGCGUAGAAUGCCGUAAUUAUAAAAAGGCCUUCCGCACGCGCUAAUCGACAUAGGGGCCUUGAACAAAAAAAAAUUGAUGUAGGGGCACAAAAAGGCACGAGAUCUAGCAUUAAACAUCUAAAAAUGCCCGUUGCUUCACGAUAAUACCAUUGUUACAAUAUGGCCGCAAAUUGAGAGAUUUGGACCAUUCAAGAGAGUGAGAUAUAAGUCGUUCGAGUUUUUAGGUUUUUGUGAGAUGGAUCACUGAAAUGUGAGGACUGUAAAUUAAAUUGAAUUGUCCGAAUCUCUUAAUUGACAAACAUCGAACAUGAAGAUAACGAGUGGAUCUCAAUCCUCAAAUUAUUGUCGUUGGUUGGCUCCUUUUCCUUUUCGCUACUUUUGUGUUCCCACGUGGUAUUUGGUUAGAGUUAAUUUACAUUACUGGUAUCAUCACAUUUUAAUUCUACAACUGGAAACAAAAGCAACCCAAAGAAGGCCAAACUACAAGGCCAGUCUUGAGUAUUUUCAUGCUUGGGACGAACACUCAAAAUGUGUCUUUUUUUAAUACACCAACAUAUAAUAAAAAAAUAUGUAAAGAGGGCUGGAAACCAGUCGAAGCUGGGGGGCUAGGCCCUCACGCCCAUAUUAUAUUACUAGAAGAAAAACAUACAACGGGAGGACAUGGGACCUAAACCCGUCGAUUAAAAGCAAAAUCAUAUACAACCACUCCGAGUAGUCAACAUGGCCAUCACAUAUUGAAUCCAAAAAGUUGAUGCUCCAUUCACCACACAUAAUGUACAGAAGAUAACAAAAUUACUACCACUUAAAGCUCAUAACAUUGAGUAAAAAGAAUCAUCUGAAAAGACGAACAGAUGCAUCAAUUCUAUUAGAGAAGCCAAUCAUGCGGUAUACUUUGAAGAAGAUAAGGAAAACCUGAUCAACAUAUAUCUUGACCAUUCUAAGUGCAAAUUUAGAAGUGAUAUGCUCCAAGUAUGAUAUUGGACAGAAAAGACCAGGCAGAUUCAACCAGUUCUGCUGUGUCCGGCUGGGUGAGAGCAGCUAAAGACAUGAUUGUUCCCUAAUAACAUGAAUAAAUUGAGUAAACACCAAAAGUAGCAGCAAGGGAAGGAGAUGUGAUGUAGAUGAAGAGGUGUAAAACCUGUGAAUGUCCAACAACAAAGACUUUGGAGCUUGUCGUCGAGGUUAUGCAGCGCAUCAUUUCUGUCUCUUCUGAUAAAGAUGUGUGUCCAUGACUCCAUCGUGUUCCACGCACAUUCCCUACGCAUACAUCAAAACCUUCAUCUCCCAGCGAUUCUUCUCGAGAGUUUAAGAACGAUGCAUCACCUGGUUAAGAUCAAGAAAAGCCAGUAACCAAGUUCAAUGGAGUUUGAAGCACAUUAGAGCCUAAUUUAUAAUGUAUCCCAUGGAUGUUCAUCACUUUACUCAAUAGUUAGUUUUCAAGAAAAUAAAUUUCAACAGAACCUGAAAACUUCAGAUCAGGGAGCACCAUAUUGUGAGCUAUAUAUUCAAAUUCUGAAACAAUCGACUUAGUGGUAUGUUGAAAAAAAUCAGAAGGAGCUAUCAAAGUAAGGCUUUUCACUAAUCAGGCGUCGAGAGAUUCAAUAUUUUACUCACAAAUCAGUUAUGGGGAAACACUCCCCACCAAAGCAAUCUCAUUAGUCCUUCACAUCUCAAACCAGACAGAAAUUGCACUAACAAACACGACUUCUAUUAGUCCUUCACAUUCCAAACCCAGUAAGUAGCCAACUUUCGUCUGAAUCUGGAAAACAAGAAGCAGUGAAUUUAAUUUAUCUUGGUAUCUCAAAGUUACUCAGUUUAAUCACAAAUUUAACAAUUAAACAUAUAAAUGGGCAAAUUUUUAGUGAAAUAUUAAUUAGUAUAGUACUCACUGUUUGCUCGGAGCAAGAGUACAUUUGAUCCGCUGCAGAGUUUAAGAUGUCCUCUCACGCUUCCAUGCAACACUGAGACAUUUGAUCCGCUGUUGAAGCUCAACACGAACAUUGUGUAUAAAAUACGCGACCAUCCAACUACACAGUUCAAAACUCAAUUUAGAGCUCCUUCUAGUGAGAUAUUAAUGGAAGAAUGAAGGUACAAAACCAACAAAGAAAAAUAUGAAGAGGGACCUUGCAUGGGUGGCUACUUCCUAUAGUGUCAGUUAAUUUUAUGGUGGAAACUCAAACCCGUUCUUCGUUUAUCGCAUUCGCAGAAAUGAGGCACGUGUAUAAGCAAAAGCUCUAUGGUUAUUCGAUUCCUUCAUCCCAUCUGUUUCUUCUUUGAAUCAGUACUGCAUAUCCAUGAAAGUACAUUAAGAAGCAAAACCAAAACCGAAAAAGUUUGAAAGCUUUUUUAUAUAGUUUGGAAAUUGCCAAGAACUGACACGGUUGUGCAAUAUGAUAAUUGAAUUAAAGAAGUCCGUACAAAUUGUCAUCUGGCCGGUUACUUGGUAGCUUCAAUUCCAUCUAAACGCUUAAACCGUCCUUGGUUUCAGCACCUGAAAAAGACAAGGGAAAUUAAAGAGAAAUUAAAAAAAUUGAAGUAAUCACCACAGGUGGCUCAGUGUUUGGGUAUAAAUUCCAGAUUCGUAUUUCACAUGGCACGUCUUGGAUUUGAUUUUUAGUAUUGGUGAAUCACACAAUGGUGACCAGGAAGAGGCUAAAAUGAAGUCUCUAAAAUAGUAGACUGCCGUGUCGAAGUCACUAAUUGAUUUCCUUUUAAAAAAUAAAUAAAAAUAAGUGAAGUUAGUGGGUAAAGAAUGCAUACUUCUUUGCUUUGGAAUCAGUGUUGCUCAACGAGAAAGCAAAAGUGUGGAUAAAAUCUUUGACCAUAUGGUAUGUCAUCUGAAAAGAAAAAUAAAAUGUUGGUGAUGAAUGAAGAAUGAAGAAUAAAAUUAAGAAACGAGAAUGACAUUUGAAUAUUUUAUAGUUUCUACUGAAUAAAGCUAGUGCAAAUUGAAACAAGUUAGAAAACGUACCUUAAUAAAUAUUAGAAAUGGAUGGGAUGUGAGCAAUCUUAGGCCAAUCCUCACCUGUUUCUUUCUUGCAUCUUUCGCUUAACAUGUCGCAAUACGAAAUUUCCAAUCUAUUUAAGUUGGGGAGUCGACGAAUCCCUUCUGGCAGUGAUGCCAAAUUAGGGCAAAAUUCUUGCAAGGUGCUGCAGUGACGUGAGAUUGCUUAUUUCUUCCAGUAGUGAUACCAACUUUGGGAAAGAUCCAAUCGUAAGCGAUUGGAGUGAUGGGAGGUUGACGACCACUUCUGGCAGUAAUGUCAGAUUAGAGCAAUCUCCAAUUGUAAGCUUCUGAAGUGAUGUAAGAUUGGCGAUCCCUUCUAACAUUGAUGUCAAAUUGGAGCAAUUUCUAACUGUAAGCUCCCGAAAGGAUGCGAGGUUGCCCAUCCCAUGAUAUGGUAGUAAUGCCAAAUUUGGGCAACUGGCAAUGUAAAGCGAUUGGAGUGAUGGGACGUUGCCCAUUCCUUGAGACGUUAUACAUUCCAAAUCCUCAAUUUUAACUAGUGACAGAUGUGUUAAUUUGGAGAGAUGAGCGGAAGAAGAAGAGGCAGAGACAACAACACCAACAUCAUGUGUAAUAUCAGAUGCUCCUCUACCAAACAAGGAAUCAACAACCUUCCAGCUGCUCUUAUAGAGAGAUAUUGUCUCCACAUUUGGAUAUAGAGGCAUGGAAGUUAGAUUAGGACAAUCCCAGAUCCAAAAUGUAGAAAGACAGGGAAAAGAAGGCAACGACAGAUUUUCCGUUGAUGAAGGAGAAGAAGCACUGUUAUGAGUGUGCGCCCUCCACCAUCCCUUCAGAACAGGGCAAUUUACAACCCUGAGGAACUCCAGGGACGUCAUCAUCUCAUCACUCAUACUAUUACUGCUGCUGGUAUUGUCUGAUAUGUACUUCAAUUUCUCAAACCCUUCAAGUUGAAGAGACUUAAGGGAUGGGAAAUGAUCCAAGGGUGGAAGAUGUUGACAUCUAUGACACCCAGUCAAUCUGAGAUCAACAAGAUUUAUGAGAGAAGAAAACCAACUCGCAAACCUCACACCACCAUAAUAAUACACGAACAACUUCUUUAGAUUUGAACGGGGUUGCAAUACUUCCAUUGACAAUAUAAUAUCCUUCUCAUCACCGCCUUAAGUAGAAUAUGACGUUGUCAACAAAUUAAUGAAAUAAACGCAAUUAGCCAUAUAUCUUUUUUAUUUUUUUAGAAAAAAUAACUAAAAGUUAAAAAAACCUUCGUAAAAAGUCAUUUUUAAAAGUAUAAUAAAUAAUACAAAAAAAAAAUUUAAAUAUGAUUUUUUAAAAAAAGUAAAUUAUACCGAAAAUAUUUUGUUAAACCUCUUUUUUUUUUUCGUCAAAUUAGCCAUCUAUCUUUUAUACAUUAAGGCGGUGGCCCAGUUUGGGGUCACGGGCUUGGACAAAAAUAAUAGGACGAAAAUGCCUCUCAGCCAAAAAAAUUCAAAACAUCAAAAAAGAAUGCAUAAAAUAAUCGAAGGAUAAUUAUGUAAAUUUACUUUUUAAUAAAAUAAUGCCCUGCUUCUUCUACAAUCUUCCACACCGUUCCAUUUUCUCAGUAGGCACCGAUCAGUCGAACACCGUCCAGGAAUGCGUCUCCGAAUUCAUUAGCUUCGUCACCAGCGAGUAAUUUUCACCUCUCUCUCUCUCUCUCUCUAUCUCUCUUUCUCUCUCUACUGUUAUUUACUUUUCCUUUCAAUCGGACUUUUUUGUAUUGAUUUUGAAUUGGGAUUUUUUGGGGUGUCUAGGGCCAGCGAUAAGUGCCAGAAGGAGAAGCGAAAGACCAUCAACAGCAACGAUUUGUUGUGGGCGAUGGCCACGUUAGGGUUUGAGGACUAUAUCUGCAUAUAAUUAGUAUAUAGGAUCUUUUUUUUUUUAUCGAAAGUUUUUUUUUCACCUUUUGGUUUAGGCUUCUCUAAGAUAUCGAAGCUAUAUUUAAUGAUUUCAUGUUUUAUUUAAUUGUGUUACAUCUUAAUUUGAUGGUGUUUACAGAAGGAUACAUGUAGAUGUAGCAAUUGUUUUGUAAGAGCCAAAGAAAAUGUACAUCGGCUUGGGUUAGCAGUUGCUAUUUCAUCCCACAGAUGGAGACGCUAUUGAUAUUGAGUAAUCUUCAAAGAAAGUCACCUCUUCAGAGAAGCAAUAUGGCAGCAUUCGUUAAGCACUUUCCAAGGUACGGACUUCACCAAUCCUAGGUUUUAGUUUGUUUCUAAUUUAUUGAGUUUUUAGGGGCAUAUUAUGUAAUUAAAGGGGAAGGAGGGGUCCAAUUUGGUUUCGAAAUCUUGAAUCUGAUCAAAUGAAAGAAUCAAAAUUCAAAGAUAAUAUGCCACCAAUCAUAGGACUCUGACUUCCAACUCUGCUGCUGCACUGAAGGAUCAUACUUUUCUUCAUACAUUGGAAACAUUUUUUGUUUUUUUUGGUUUUUUUUACUGAUAUUAGUAGCUUUUUAGGGUUGAACUAUUUGAUUUCACAGAUUCAUUACAGACACAUUACAUAGUUACAUUUUAAAUUCGUAUUUCAUAACUUGGUUGCUUGAUUCUAAUGUCGAUUCGUUACAACAGAAGUGAACUUUUUCUACUUUAAGCAGGAAUUUUUGCUUUUGUUUUUAUUGUUGUUGCCUUGAUUGUGGUUAUCUGACGGAUUAAUACUCCAUCAUAUAUUGAGCAAUAUCGUGCGGCUCAAAGAAUUUCGUUAUGUGUUUACGCGUAUUUUGUACUCUGAAUAAUUGUAAUCAAAUUCCAUUGCUCCUAAGCUAAGGUCAGAAUUUGUAGCAUAUAAGGGAAGGUUAGCAGAUACUUACCAAUUAUCCAAAGCUGGAUAUUAAGGUCUUUAACAUUAAUAUCUUUUUGUAUGUGUAGCAUCUGCUUGGAAAAGGUUUCAACUUUAUUUUUUAUUUGUUGGAUUGAUCAAUUGAUGUAUUUUAUGAAAGUUGAUCUGCAAGAUGUUAAGAUGAUUUCUUUGUUUAUGUAUACUGUUUAAUUAUAUCAAUGGAAAUUGGUGCUGCCAUUGUGGCAGUAGAUGAAUUUCUGGCUUUUGAGAUGAAGUACUAAAAAAUUUUGAUUUCUUUUUUCUUUACAUGCUUUUCUUUUAAUUUUGCUGGAAUUCUCACGUUGCUUUGAUUAAGUUAUACAUGGCCAUGAUAAGGUAUUGCCCGUCCCCACAAACAUUUUGUACAUGUGUGGCAUUAAUAUAUUUUGUUUUCUGAUUGAAUUUGUUUUCAUUCAAUGGGGUUGGUGAGCUAAAUAGCAAGUGGAUUUUUAAUCGUGUUUAAAUUGAAGUCCUAAUUUCGUUGGUUUUGUUCAUAAUUAGUGUGUUAUGUUGUUUUCCUGUGUGUUUUAUGCGUUUGUUAAUUUAUGGGAGUCUUCACAAGAAAUGUUGUGUUCAAAAAUAUUUUUCUUCCAUCAAAUGUAUGAUAACUUUACAUUCAUUCUUUUAAUGUUUAAUUCACUUUUCAAAUCCUUGUAGAUAAAUACAUUUAAAUUGUAUAAGUCGCGCGUCGAAUGCCGUAAUUAUAAAAGGGCCUUCCGCACGCGCUAAUCGACAUAGGGGCUUUGAACCAAAAAAAAAAAAAUCGACAUAGGGGCGCAAAAAGGCACGAGAUCAAACAUUAAACAUCUAAAAACGUCUGUUGCUUCACGAUAAUACCUUUGUUACCUUUGUUACAAUGUGGCUGCAAACCGAGAGAUUUGGACCAUUCAAAAGAGAGUGAGAUAUGAGUCGUCCAAGUUUUAGGUUUUUAUGAGGUGGAUCACUGAAAUGUAAGGACUAAAUUAAAAUUGAAUUGUCCGAAUCUCUUAAUUGACAAACAUCGAACACAAAGAUAACGAGUGGAUCUCUAUCCCCAAAUUAUAGUCGUUGGUUGGUUCCUUUUCCUUUUUGCUACUUUUGUGUUCCCACAUGGUAUUUGGUUAUAGUUAAUUUACAUUACUGGUAUCACCACAUUUUAAUUCUACAACUGGAAACAAAAGCAACCCAAAGAAAACCAAACUACAAGGCCAGACCUGAGUAUUUUGGUGCUCGAGGCGAACACUCAAAAUGUGUCUUUUAAUACACCAACAUAUAAUAAAAAAAAUUAAUAUUUAAAGAGGGCUGGAACUCAGUCGAAGCUGGGGGGCUAGGCCCUCACGCCCGUAUUAUAUUACUUGAUCAAAAACAUACAACGGGGGGACAUAGUAUCCAAACCCGUUAAUCAAAAGCAAAUUCAUAUACAACCACUCCGAGCAGUCAACAUGGCCAUCACAUAUUGAAUCCAAAAAGUUGAUGCCCCAUUCACCACACAUAAUGUAACAGAAGAUAUCAAAAUUACUACUACUAAAAUCUCAUAACAUUGAGUAAAAAGAAUCAUCUGAAAAGAUGAACAGAUCAUCAAUUCUAUUAGAGAAGCCAAUCAUGCGGUAUACUUUGAAGAAGAUGAGGAAUACCUGAUCAACAUAAAAGACCAGGCAGAUUCAACCAGUUCUGCUAUGUCCGGCUGGGUGAGAGCAGCUAAAGACAUGAUUGUUCCCUAAUAACAUGAAUAAAUUGAGUAAACACCAAAAGUAUAGCAGCAAGGAAAGGAGAUGUGAAGUAGAUGAAGAGGUGCAAAACCUGUGAAUGUCCAACAGCAAGGACUUUGGAGCUUAUUGUCGAUAUAUGCAGCGCAUCAUUUCUGUCUCUUCUGAUAAAGAUGUGUGUCCAUCUAAACGCUUGAACCGUCUUUGGUUUCAGCACCUGAAAAAGACAAGGGAAAUUAAAGAGAAAUUAAAAAAAUUGAAGUAAUCACCACGGGUGGUUCAGUGUUUGGGAACAAAUUCCAAAUUCGUAUUUCACAUGGCAAGUCUUGGGUUUAAUUUUUAGCAUUAGUGAAUCACACGAUUGUGACCAGAAAGAGGCUAAAAUGCAGCCUCCAAAAGAGUACACUGCCGUGUCGAAGUUACUAGUUGGUCCCUUUUAAAAAAAAUAAUAAUAAUUGAAGUUAGUGGGUAAAGAAUGCAUACUGCUUUGCAUUGGAUUCGGUGUUGCUCAACUAGAAAGUAAAAGUGAGGACAAAAUCAUUGAGUAUAUGGUAUGUCAUCUGAAAGAAAAAUAAAAUGUUGGUGAUGAAUGAAGAAUGAAGAAUAAAAUUAAGAAACGAGAAUGACAUUUGAAUAUUUUAUAUUUUAUACUGAACAAGGCAAGUGCAAAUUGAAACAAGUUAGAAAACAUACCUUACAAAUUAUGAAUAGAAAUGGAUGGGAUGUGAGCAAUCUUAGGCCAGUCCUCCCCUGUUUCCUUCUCGCAUCUUUCGCUUAACACGGGGCAUCUCCAAAUUCCCAAUGUAUUUAAGUUGGGGAGUCGACGAAUCCCUUCUGGCAGUGAUGCCAAAUUAGGGCAACUUUGAAUUUCAAGGUUCUGCAGUAACGUGAGAUUGCUUAUUUCUUCCGGUAGUGAUACCAAAUUUGGGAAAGAUACAAUCGUAAGCGAUUGGAGUGAUGGGAGGUUGACGACCACUUCUGGCGGUAAUGUCAGAUCAGAGUAUUCUCCAAUUGCAAGCUUCUGAAGUGAUGUAAGAUUGGCGAUCCCUUCUAACAUUGAUGUCAAAUUGGAGCAAUUUGUAACUGUAAGCUCCCGAAAGGAUGCGAGGUUGCCCAUCCCAUGAUAUGGUAGUAAUGCCAAAUUUGGGCAAUCUUUAAUGUCAAGCGAUUGGAGUGAUGGGACGUUGCCCAUUCCUAGUGACGUUACACAUUCCAAAUCCUCAAUAUUACUGAGUGACAGAUGUGUUAAUUUGAAGAAAUGAGGGGAAGAAGAAGAGGCAGAGACAUCAACACCAACAUCAUGUGUAAUAUCAGAUGCUCCUCUAACAAACAAGGAAUCAACAACCUUCGAGCUGCACCCAUUGAGAUCUAUUCUCUCCACAUUUGGAUACAGAGGCAUGCAAGUUAGAUUAGGACAAUUACUGAUCCACAAUGUAGAAAGACCGGGAAAAGAAGGCAAAGACAGAUUUUCCGUUGAUGAAGAAGAAGAAGCAUUGUUAUGAGUGUGCGCCCUCCACCAUCCCUUCAGAACAGGGCAACUUUCUACCCAGAGGCCCUCCAGGGACGUCAUCAUCUCAUCACUCAUACUAUUGCCGCUGCUGGUAUCGUCUGAUAUGUACUCCAACUUCUCAAACCCAAUAAGGUCAAGAUACUUAAGGGAUGGGAAAUGAUCCAAGGGUGGAAGAUGUUGGCAUCUAUGACACCCCCACAAUCUGAGAUCAACAAGAUUUAUGAGAGAAGAAAACCAAAUCGGAAACCUCACACCACCAUAAUACCACACGGACAACUUCUUUAGAUUUGAAUGGGGUUGCAAUACUUCCAUUGACAUUAUAAUAACCUUCUCAUCAAUUGCGUUUACAUCUUCUCCAUAUUUCCACCAUAAAUGCAACGAAUGGAGAUGCUGUUUCUCCUUGAGAGGCGUACCAACAUUUGAUUCUGACAUCACAUCUUUCUCGUGCCUCAAGUAUUUAAUUUCUAACCAUCCCCUUAAUUCCUUAAGCCUUCCCAGUUCACCAAGACCCGCAGCACUGUCCCUCAACAAAGAAUUGUUUUCGCUCAAAACAAAUCUAUUCAAUGUACGAAGACCAUUCAGCUCCCCCAAUCCACGUGGCAUUCGAGUCAAUCCAUUACAGCCUUGCAAGAGGAGAUGCCUUAAGUUGAUCAUUUUUUUUAUGUCUCUAGGCAAUUCCACAAGCCUAUCACACCGACUGAGAUCUAGUGUUUCCAAAUUCGAAAGUCCAACUAUCCAAUCUGGAAGUCUCUUGAUGCCAUCAUUAUCACUAAGAUCAAGAUAUCUCAAAUGUUUCACUUUUUUAAGACAAUUUGGUAAUUUUUCAUUUCCUAUGCGCUUGAGACUCAACAUACGCAGUGACUUAAAAUUUGAGAUAAUUGUAGCAGAAAAUGAAUUAUCUACUGAAAAACCUCUAAACUUUUGGCAAGGAAGAAGAAAGGUUCGUAUCUUUUUUGCAUUUAGCAAGGAAGUUGGCACUUCCCAUUUCGACAGAUCAACAUGAAAAUUGAAAGAUACAUGACGAAGCUUUUCAUGAAAUUUCUUUUGGUUCCGAUCAACUAUGGCGCUUCUGACCCCCGACACUAAGAUUGCAAGUUCAUUCAUGAGAUCGUGCAUUUUACAACUUGUUAUUACACCAAACUCAUCUUUUUCUUCUUCUUGAAAAAACGAUCUGCACAACAAUUCCAUAUAAUACUCAUACGCAACAUCCUCCAAACUCUCGUUUUCACCUGAUGACUUAAUGAACCCUUGCGCCACCCAAAGUCUAAUCAACAUCGGUACAGAGAUCUCAUAAUCAGGUGGGAACAAGCUACAGUAAGCAAAACAAUGCUUCAAAUGUGAUGGGAGCACAUCAUAACUUAGUUUAAGUGUUGGUAAAAUUUUAUUUUCUUCCUGAUUUAUUCUUGAAAGUUUCUUUUCUUUGAAAUUCAACCAUUCUGUUUCGUGAUAUUUGGUGUGCAACAUCCCACCUAUUGUCCUUAUAGCGAGUGGAACUCCCUGACAUUUUCUUGCAACCUCCUUCCCAAUUGCCUUAAUUGUUGAAUUCUCUGGCUCUUUUCCAUCUUUAAAAGCCAUUUCCUUAAAUAAAGACCAACUGUCCUCUUGAUUCAAACCCCUUAAGGUGUACGGUUUAGCUGUGUCUGAUAUCUUCGCAACUGUUUCACUACGAGUGGUUAUUAGUAUUCUACUACCUUUUCCACCCCCCAUUAACAAGUACUUCAAGGUAAGCCAUUUCUCCCUAUUCUCAUCCACACAUCAUCCAACACAAUUAGGUAUUUCUUUCCAUCUACUUUUCUUCUAAGAUCAUUUUGCAGCUCAUCCAUAUCAAUCUUGUCAACUUUUAGUAUUUUCUUAACAAGUAUAUCCAACUCAAAUACAUUAGAGACACAUGACCAUAUUUUCAACUCAAAAUGAUUUUGAAUCACCUCAUCGUUGAAUAUGAGUUGGGCAAGACCAGUUUUCCCCAAUCCUCCAAAUCCAACUAUGGAAAUGGUGGACACAUUCUCAGUUGAGAUGGGAUCCAACAAAAGUUGAAUAAUUGCCUUUCUAUCUUCAUCUCUCCCUAUAAUAUUUUCCUUAGGGACAAAUGAGUGAGUGAUCCUCUCUCUAAUUAUAAAUCGUGUAUCUUCACAAUUUACUUCUAAGGGAAAGGCUCUACGGGAUGCAACCUCACGAAGCCUCUUGUUAAGAUCUUUUAUCUUAUGACCCAUCUUUAACCGAAAAGCAAGUUGAUUUGAGCUAGAGAAGAAGAGGCGUACCUUCUUUGACAUCUUAGUAUUGCCACACAUCAUUUGUCUCUGCUGCGCUUCAGUAUUAAACUCAUCCAGCAGGUCAUCGGCUUCAUAAACUGCAUCUUCUACGCUUUCGAGCCACACUUUGACUUCAUUGAUGGUUUGCUUUUUCUCAGCAUCAAGAAGAACAGCUUGGAAUCCGGCAACUAUCUCCAGGAGCUUGUGGAGCUCAUCUUGGACACCCCAAAUCAAUCCGAUCUCUUGGAAAGCAAGGGAGCCUAGCCUUCCGAUGAUCCGUGCUGCAACGUUGAAGAGAACUCCUUCCGCCAUUUCUUGUAUUCAGGACAAGCAAAAACACAAGUGAAGUGAAUUAAAGUAUAAACAAAGACCGGUGAAUAUAUUGCUGCCGGGUCCUCCACGUUGUGUUGUAUUUAAUUUGCUUGGCAUCUUCCGUACUUAUUUUUCCAAUGCCGGGGUCCUCCACGUUGUGUUGUCUUUAAUUUGCUUGGCAUCUUCCGUACUUAUUUUUCUAAUGCCGGGUCCUCCACGUUUUGUUUUAUUUAAAGGACAUAUUAGCAGUAGCUUCUGCAACUAACAAAUUACGGGUGGAUACAUAUUUAAUUUGUGAUUAAAAAAUUAAUUACUUGAACACUUGUUUAUUCAUAAUUUGCUAGCAGCAAGAGGAGCUGCUGCUGAUUUUUCAGCAGUCAAACUCCGUGCUGUAUUUAAUUUGCUUGGCAUCAGUACUUAAUUAUUCAUCGUAAUUAAUAAUUAAUAAUUCUAUAUUAUUAUAAAAGUAGAUGACCGCAUGAAGAAAUAUGCAUCCUACAUCAUUUCAUAUCAGCCAACAAAUGUUGAAGUUUUUGUCAACCAAUAAAUGUUGAAUUUUUGUCGGUCAACAAAUGUUGAAAGUGUGCUGCCUGCUUUCACACUUCUUGGCCUUAACAAAGAAGAUAUAAUUUUUCUAUAUAAAAGCCUAUCAACUCACAAAUAUGAUAGUGAGGAAUAGACACAAUGUAUUGUUUCAAUUACUUUGUAAUUUCAGUAUGAUAAAUGAGAAAGACUAAUGCUGCUGAUCCAAUGACAUAGACAUACUUACCAAACCUCAUAAAUAUUGUGACUUAUUUACUUUAUAUUUCACUGCACACAUCCUUAAUUUUACUAGUUGUUGGUCAUGUUUGAGCGGUUGAGAAAAUUAGAUCUCCAAAUUCCAACGCUUCAUUUCACGGCUGUCCAGUUUCGAAAUGAGAGUUGACGGAAAAACAAAAACAAAUAAUAAACAAUUCUACUAUUUCGCCACCGACAUUUUCACAAACAUUUGUUCUACUAGAUCGAAAAAUAGCACCGAUGGUCAGACGAGCAUUAGAUAAAAAUGAAAACUAACAAAAAGUUCAUAAAAAAACCUUUAAAUUUAACGAAAAAGGACAAAUAAAAAUGUAAAUAGUACCAAAGAAAGAUAAAAAUGUGAUUUUUCGUUAAAAGACAACAGUACCGAAAGUAUUUCGUUAAAACUUCCUAAAUAAAAUUACCUUUAACGAUUCAUUUGUAAUCACUUUUAAGAGAUGAAAAGAAGAUACGAGAAAUUUCAAUACUGCAGCUUUAUUUGGAAUUUGUAUUGGAUUGCUGUGAUAUCGAAUUGACACAAGCAUCAACAGUGUGUGUGUGCGUUUCCUACUACUGUGUGGGAUAAACAGAUUUGGUUCAUAGACCAAACCAUAGACCGAAAUAUGACGCCCUUUGCACAAUUCACCCGUUACACAUUUACUGUCGACAUCUAUAUAAACAGCGCUGCUGGAGAUAAUGAACGUGCGCCUUUGGGUAUUACUUUAAAUCGAUCGACGAAACGCGCCACCUGGUCUCGUGCUUCUGCUAUUGCUCAAAGGGGAUGAAGUCUGACUGGACAGUUGCACAUCAGAUAGUGAAACAGAACCGCUCUGUGAAAAAAUCAAUCCACCUGAACUACUUGAGGUGUUCCCGGAAGAAGGCACCCUGGUUGAGUAAGUAUCCCUUUUGGAAGCUGAAAGGAAUUCGGGCCGGAGAUCCGAUGAUGAGGAUGAUGGAGCCAGGGUGGCCAGCAGAGACCCAACCGGAUAUUGAACAACAGGCAUAUCAACGAGAGAUGAAGCUGAGAGGUCGUACCUCAUGGUCUGCACUGGAUGGUCAAAUUUGCAUGUAGAUCCAAACUUGCACUGACCAUUUUGCAGGUAGAAUGUACACGGUUGCACUCCCUGUCCAAACAAAAGCACGUUAAUUUUCUCCAUAGAAUAUGACAUUGUUUAACAAAUUAAUGAAAUAUACGCAAUUCACCACAAAUAUGGUAUAAUGCUCAUAAUAAUCGACACAGGGGCACAAAAAGGCACGAGAUAUAACAUUAAAAAUCUAAAAACGUCUGUUGCUUCACGAUAAUACUUUUGUUACAAAGCGGCCAACCAAAUUUAAAUAAUAAAACAAAAAAUGUGAAGAAGAAGCCUGUGAACCAGCAAGACCAGAUAAAGAAAAGCAACCCUACAUUAGAGGGGAAAGACAUCUCAAAGAAUGAGGGCAACAGCAAUUCUAUCAACGAUGAACAAACUGAUAAAAAGUAACUUUAAUAUAGAGAAAGCAAAAAUAUAAAACAUAAAGUGAGCACUGAGAAUAAUGCAAGUGCUGAAGCACAAAACUCAAGCGAAGAUACGUAUAUAUCAUUGCAAGGGCCUACACAGCAUAGAUUAUUUUGUUUCAGGACUGCAGCAAAGGUUUUCCAGUCAAGGAACCUUCUGUCAUCUUGCUCCUUUAUUCUAAAGGACCUUUUGGAUAGAUAACUAUUUCAUAAGGUUUUUCAGCAACCAGAGGCACAUUUGUUUUUCGAGUUACAACUUAUAAUGUGUUGCCGUGUCAUCUGAUUCCUAUAUUGAGCACAUUACACAUAAACAUUAUUCCUACAUUAACCAUACAACUACUUAUGCUCAUUGACACAUCUGCUAAACUGGGGCCCACCGUACAACCCUACAAUAUUUGGAGGCAUGAAACAGUAGCAAAUAUGGAUAGGUACCUUUGGGUUUCAAACCUGAGACCACACGGCACAAACCCAUGUGCCUCAGCCACCCUACUGAGCCCCUGUUGGUUGAUGCUCAUUAAAUAUCAAAAUGUCUCUUUAAAUUACAUCAAUCACCAAUCAGGUUUGUACAACACUGAGCAUUAACUUCCUCAGACCUCAAUGGCAAAGAUUCUUGUACAAAAUAUAACCUUAAUAAAAGAAGACUGCUAACGAGACCAAGGUAAACGAACAUACCUACCUAUACUGCAGAACAAUCAAAAUGAAAAACAUGUUUUCUCAACCUAUAAACAUAGUAUGACUGCCUUUUCUUUGCCACCAAAUUUUUAUUUCAUUUGGUUGUACAAAGGAGGUCAACCAGGUAUGCCUUUAGAUACGAUAGUAGCAUCCCCCAAUCCCCUUUUUGGAAAAAGAUUACUGUUUAAUCGAGUAAAAGAAAAACAACUCUUGGGUCUACCAAAUUGGAUAACCAAGUGAUGAACUCGAUAACUUCUAACAGCGGAAUUUUAAAAAAAAAAAUUAAAAAUUCAUCAAAAAUAAUAUAAAACAACUUUGCAUACCGGACGGAGUGGGAGACCCAUCGGACUAAGGAGACAAGUUAUUCUCGGUACAGUUCGAUCCCGAGGAUGAUGAUACCUACAAGAUGGUCCAUAUUUACAGUCCCCAGUUUUCAGAUAGUACUGGCAUUCAAGUUCGCCAGGCCUCUCUGGGAAAACUUGUUCAAUCGGGUUGCUGCUAGAAGGACCAACAGAAGAGGGUAUGGAGGUAUAAGGGCUUGCAAGUCCGUGUGUUGGAGAAGGUAGCUGUGUUACUCCAUAUAAAGAAGUUGCUCCAACUGUGGGUUGAGCUCCAGGAGAUGGUACAGGGCUAAGAGGUGCCUGCACCAAGUAAUAACAUAUUACUAUUAGUAAUGAACUUCAAUCAUAUAUCAACCUGAAUAUGUCUUUAUCAUACCGAAUACGGACUCCAACCCUGAAUCGGAACAACUCCAGGAGAAGGAAUCAAGACAGGACCGUAAGUCCCUUGCACAUAUGAUCCAGUUAACAGUGGAGGCCUAGCCACCCUCAAACUGGUGGAUGCCCCCCCAUACUGUUCUGCCAAAGGAACAGGAGACUGCACCGAUGGAUAAAAUUGGGGUGCAGAAGCCGGUAUUGUUGUUCCAGCAGGCUGUGGAUGAUGGAAUUUACAGGUUAUGCCAAAUUUGCAUUGCCCCGUUUUCAAAUAGUAGGAGCAUUCAUUCUCGCCCUGUUAUAAAAAAAAUUAAAAUUAAUUUUUAACAACUGUGUAAAGCGGGAGCCUGUGCACUGGUACGACCUUUUUUUUUUGUUUUUUUGUGAGCCACUUGCUCCACAAAUUUCACAAAAGUCUACACACACCCAUAUGUGGAUGAGAGGAAAACAGAGAGACAGAGUCAGAAAGGAAAUCAAACCGGUCGUAAUGGGUAUCCAUAAAUAUUUAGGGGAGCUCGGUUUAAGGAUCCAGCUCCAUGUUUUGGAUGGUGGAACUUGCAGGACGCACCAAAUUUACAGGUCCCAGUCUUUAAAUAAUACUGCACAUUAGACAAACAUAUGCCACAAUCACAUAUGAAGUUCAAAGCUCAAACAAAUAAAUGGACAACAUAACAAAGUUGCCGAAAAGUUUCCAGAUCUACAUUGUCAUUAUCAGGCAAGAAAUUCACAUUUUACAACAGAUUAGAAAACUAUUGCAUACCUGACAUACGGGUUCCCCCACUCUAUCUGGGUAAUCCCCUGUAGCUCUUACAGCUGCCACGACCUACGUGCAGCAUCAAACCGAAAUCAUAAACAAAAGAUAACAAAAUUAAAAUUCACAAGCAAAGACAAUUUCAGUUACCAAUAAAAUCCAAGCAGUUGUAACUAAGACAACAUUUCCCACUGCACCGAGCCCAAAACACAAAUAUUAGGCCUAAUAUUUUCAUCAAAUAUAGACUAGUUUAACUUUGUCGAAUAAAUUCCAAAAAAGGUUCCCAUUUCUUUUCCCCAGCUUUCUCAGCAAACAAACAAUCAUCUAGUUUCAGGUAAAGGGACAAAAAACUACCUUCAACAAAACACUCAAACUUACGAAAAUUCAAAACAACCUACAUAUCCUGUUGCAGUCACCUAUCACCGAAAGCUUGAGUACUAGUUUACAUAUCAAAACCCGCAAUUAAGCAGUAUCGAAAAAGCUCAUUAACUGAUUGCAAUGCAAGUUUACAACGAACAAGGACUUACCGCAGCACGAUCGCGAGGAUGGUUGUACCGGCACCGACCACCGUAUCCACAGAACCCGGUUCGCAUGUAGUAGACACAGUUGGGCACGCCGGGUCUCUCCGGGUACGAUUCGCCGCCCGUCAGCCCCAAUUGCCACAUUUGCUCUACAAUUCACCCCCAAACCAGAACAAAACCCCAAUCACAACCCCACAUUACCAAACCAAACACAAAACCCUAGAAACCCCAGAUUACGAAAUUAGCCCAAAUCGAGCUCAAACGAAGCGAAAUUAAAACGCCGAGCAAGUAAAGGAGUACCUUCGAGGCCGGUCUCUCCGGCUGCGGGGCUCCAUUCCUGGUUCGACCCGUUUCCGGCGGGGCUUCGUCCGUACAACUCCAUCACAAAAACGGCGGCGUGUUGGGUUUCCUGUACACCUUCAGCAACUAUGAGGAGCAGAGUAAGGGGGAAAGGGAGAGCUGUACAGGAUUCCCACCACCCUUCUAGAGAGGCCUUUGAAGGAUCGGAGAAGCUCGAUCGAGCGGAAGAGAGUGUGAGAGAAAGUGGAGAGAGAGAGAGAGGAACGGAGACGGUUGCUUCACAGUGAUGGAGAAGCUUAAUUGCUCUCUCUCUUAAAGCGAACGUAUUCGUACUGUCUGGUAUCGGCCUUUUGGCUUCACACUCACUGAAAGUUUGAAACACUCUUUCUUUCUCUCUCCUCAUUUUCUCUCUCCUCCUUUUGAUUCAUUUAUGGAAAAAUCUUGGGUUUGUUUGGGGAAGGACUCCAAAUAUGGAUUGGUGGGGAAAUUGAUCGGAUUCCUUUCUCCUAAUCUAUCAAGGGAAUUCGUGUUGUUGAAAUUUGAUCUAACAGCUACAAACAUGAGUCCAUCUUAAAAGUUAUAAUAAAUUCAGCUGUUUGAUCAAAUUUUAACGAUAUAGAUCAUCUGAUUUGAAGGAUUAAGAGGAAGAAAUCCGAAAAUCUCUUUCCGAUAGGUGGAUUAGAACACGAAACCUCGAAGACAUAGAUGAAUGUUAUUAACUAAUAUUUUAUUAUUAGUUCAGAAUGCUAAAAUAACAUUUUUGCAGUGCAUGUAAGUCAUUUCAUCAAAUUUAAAGUUAAGUCUCUGGGUUGUAGUCGCUCGAUACUUGUGUAACUCAAAUAUUGAUAACAUCAAUGGUAAUUAUGUCUGCUUUGAAGAAAGAUGUCUCAUGUUUCUUUAUACUCUCAUUGACAACAAGUUUUAUGUUUGAUUAUGAUUGACGUAUGUAUAACUUAGUUGAAUCUCAUCCUUAUUUUGUUUUAUCAACCAAUAAUAGAGAUGACAUGCAGAUAGUUGAUCAAGUGACGAUACAUUUAUUGCUAUUAAAUGAGCGGACACAUCAUGCAGUCAGAUGAAACUUGGCUAAACUUUCAUCCUUUGUUUAAACUCUCAUAAUCUCAUUGAUAACAAAUUUUACAUUUACUUUAUAACUGGCAUAUUCUGUAACUUAAUUGAAUAUGAUCUUCAUAUUGUUGUAUCAAAAUAUUAAAACGACCAAUAAUAGAGAUGACAUGCAUAUAGCCAACAAAGUGACUAUACAUUUGUUACUGUUAAAUGAGCGGACAUAUCACGCGCUCAGAAGGACUAAUCCAAAAUUUUCUAUUUCAUUAGCCACUUGGAUAACGUCUCUUUCCGUACCGGACAAAGUAAAGGGCACCUGGAAAGAGAAAGUUUAGUUUGGGAACAACCGACGAUGGACUUUGGAAAUUACGAAGCAACCCUGGAGAUUGGGGUAGGCUUCUGAUUGGCUUGUUCUUUAUGUUCGGAGCCGUCCACAAAGGACACCACGGUUAGCCUGGCAUUUUGGACCCAACCCGUUAAUCCGAUCCGACCUAACCCGUUAAUAUUUGUAUUUGGGUGGAUGCUUAACGGGUCGGGUCGCUAACGGGUGAACCCGUUAACAACCCGUUAAAUAACGGGUCACUUUGGGUCAACCCGUUAGACCCGUUAGGACCCGUUAACACCCGUUAGCAUCCGUUAGUUGAGGAUAUUUUAGUAAUUUUAGUAAAGUCUUAAUAACAAAAAAUAAACUUUAUGCAAAAAAAUAAUAAUAAUAAUUGUUAACGGGUGUUAAUGGGUGAAACGGGUGACCCGUUAGCUUAACGGGUCGGGUUCCGAUGACCCGUUAGCUUAACGGGUUGGGUUCGGGUGACCCGUUAACUUAACGGGUCGGGUUGAACCCGACUCAAACCCAAUAAACCCGACCCGUUUACAGGUCUAACCACUGUGCACUGUACGGCGUGUGGUCGGGCAGUUUAUAUUCUAAAUGUUUAUAUUCAUUAGUUUUAUCCGAUACUGUUUAUUUUAACGAAAAAUCACAUUUUUAUACUAAAAAGUUAAUUAUGAUACUAUUCAUUUUACCUUUUAUUUUGUUAUUAUCGUUAAAACUCAAAGUUUUUAAACUAUUUUCAUUAAUUUUCUUAAAAUUAAAUUGGCGCUAAACAAAAAACCCAAAUUGGUGUUAGAAAUGUAGCUUAAAAUGCCAAGAUGGUUAACGACUCGAUCGUCGAUCAAUCAUGGCUAAUUUAUCGGGGACGCUAACGAACAAUAAGAUAAUUUACACUAAAUUAAUCUAAAUUAGCAUUUGCCUACACAUUUUGUGUGUAUGGACACAUUUUUUAGAAAAUGAGAAGGAGAGAGGGAGACAAAGAGAACGUGGGGGAGUGGGGGUCGUGCAACCUGUAUGUCAGGUAUACAAUAGUUUUCUGAGCUGUUGUAAAAUGUGAAUUUCCUGCCUGAUAAUGACAAUGUAGAUAUGGAAACUUUUCGGCAACUUUGUUAUGUUGUCCAUUUACUUGUUUGAGCUUUGAACUUGAUAUGUGAUUGUGGCAUAUGUUUGUCUAAUGUGCAGUAUUAUUUAAAGACUGGGACCUGUAAAUUUGGUGCGUCCUGCAAGUUCCACCAUCCAAAACAUGGAGCUGGAUCCUUAAACCGAGCUCCCCUAAAUAUUUAUGGAUACCCAUUACGACCGGUUUGAUUUCCUUUCUGACUCUGUCUCUCUGUUUCCCUCUCAUCCACAUAUGGGUGUGUGUAGACUUUUGUGAAAUUUGUGGAGCAAAUGGCUCACAGUUGUUAAAAAUUAAUUUUAAAUUUUUUUAUAACAGGGCGAGAAUGAAUGCUCCUACUAUUUGAAAACGGGGCAAUGCAAAUUUGGCAUAACCUGUAAAUUCCAUCAUCCACAGCCUGCUGGAACAACAAUACCGGCUUCUGCACCCCAAUUUUAUCCGUCGGUGCAGUCUCCUGUUCCUUUUUAAUAUUGUAUUUUCUUUGCUAUUUUUUUUUUUCAAUUUGUAUCUAUAAAAUUUAAAUACUACAAAUUAGAGCACCACUUUGAGUGAACAAAAGUGUUUCCUGUCUUGAAAGGUCUUCAGUUUGAAAUAUGUUGCAUGAUUUUUUUUGUGUAAAACUUAUCAACCUUUUAAGUUAAUAAAUUUGCAAAACUUAAAAAUAGCAAAAUAGUUUCACAAGGACUCAAAUCGGGACCCUGUGCGGUGACACUUUUUACACACCCUCAGAAUCGGCUCUGAAACCGUGGGGAAAAUUUGAAUAAGGGCUGCGUGGUGGUAGGUAGUGGACAAGGCGGUUCAAUUGUUUUUUUAUUUUUUUUAAUUAAGUUAAAACCUUGCGUGUUACAAUGAUCAAACUAAAUGUUAAUAAAAAUGAAGAUAAUUUGGUCGCAUUAAAAUAGAAAAUCUUUUAAUUGUGCUUAUAAGCUGUGGUACAAAUGUCGGCACCAAUUUUAUUUCACUGUAUUAUUUUUGCAUUCAUGUUAUAAUUUGUUUUUUGAUAUUAAUGAAGUUGAACCAAUGAUUUAAUUAAAAAAGGCAUGGUCCCAUCAUUUGAUAGAUAAAUAUAAUUAGCGCUUUUGUGUACCUUACCAUAUUUGUUCAUGCCUUUAUAGUGAUAGCAACCAUCACCCACUUUUGUUGCUAACUAGUACUUACAAGGACUAUAUAAGUUUCCUAUAUGUUUGUCAAUUAAAAUGUAUUCAAAGAGUUGGCUUAGUUGGUAAGAUCCUCACUUUGUGUGUCACCCCAUUAAGGUUGGAGUUCAUUUGCCAGCAGUUCUCGUUAAUGCAUGAUCUGUAAAUUUCUAAGCAAAUCCAUACUGGUGACAACUGACAAUUAGGUUAUAUGUGUAUGUUCUUCCAGCUCGAGGUUGUGAGUAUGUCCUCAUGCUGGUGAUGAAAAUAACCAAUCUUGCCAUCUUGCCAUAAACUUUUGUUCACGAAAAAAAAAAUAGUAUUCAAGUGUAGGUUGUGGAUGGAAACAAAGAGGAAGAUAAAAGGAAAUUCAUUUCUCAGUCUAAUCGUAUUUUUAUUCCUUCUAGCUAGGUAGGUGGUGAAUGGGAUCACAUUUGCCUGUGUCAACUAACAUUUUUGCAUGGGGUGUUAUUGUGGAUAUCAUGUUGAAAGACGAGAAAAAACAGAAUAAACUCAGAAAUCGAAAAACAAAGUAAUUAACAUGAAUAUUACCAAGAAUUAACAUGGUUCGGCUAUUUGUGCUUAAGUCCACGAGAUAACAACAACAAUCUCUCACUAUAUUAAUAAUGAGUACAACGGAUAAUCUUAACAAGUCUCUAAUUUAAGACUUGACAAACAACUUGAAAGAACAAGAACAAGAAAUGCAAUCUUAUCUCUUUUCUUUUAUUUCGCACAUACUUUGCUCAAAUUUUAAGUUUUAAUCCAAGAAGUAAAGAUAGUCUAAUGCCAAAAAUAUUAUGAACAUAAUUGCUUUAUACAAAAGUUACUUGCAUUGCAUUUGUAACCUUUUGUUAUUCAUGUUGACAAAAAAAAAAGAACUUUAACGAAAAGCUUUUGGUACUGUUCACUUUAACGAAAAACCAAAUUUUUACACUAAAAAGUCAAUCUUGGUACUAUUCACUUUACUCUUAAAGCUCAAAAAUUUCAAAUCAUUUUUAUUAGAUUUUCUAAAAAAAAAACCUUGUGUUAUUCCGGUUGUGGGAUACGAUAUCUAAGUUCCCAAACAGGACGCGUAGGCGGGACCUUAUCUCUUCCAAACGCCACAUAUCUAUUUAGGCGCGUUUUUCCUUCCGACCUGCAACUUCCAUGGCUGCAAUGAGUGGCCUCGCUACGAGCUCCACUCCUUCUCGAUUACUCGCAUUUCCAAUAAGACGCGGUUUCCCGGACCACUCGUCUUCGCGCUCCGUGGUCAUCAGUAAACCUCCUCCCAGAGCUCCCAGACUCGUUUGCAUGGCGGUUUGUACAUCCACCCCAAAAAAUUAUAACAAUUCCGAAUUCGGAGCAUUGAAAUUGGAAGUUUACAGCUUUCGAAAUUGGGGUUUUGUUAUUUUUGAAGGAAAAAGUUUUCCCCUGAAACAAACAGUUGUUAUGGGAUGGCAUUCUCAUUUUCUGGUGUUAUUUUUGUGGAAUUGCAGGAGCCCUAUUUGAUUACAAAGCUGGAUUCUGCAGAGAAGACCUGGAAAGAUUUAUCGGUACGAUUCGUACUCUGAUUGAAUGUUUUGGGUUGAUGAUUUUAAUUUUCCCACCCUGUGCGUGUAUGUGAUGUGAGAUUUUGAGGAUUAGUACUCUGUUACUGUGUAGUUUAGUAGUCUAGGGUUUUAGGGUUUAGGGUUUUGUAUGACGGAGAAUUUGAAUGAUUUGCGAAAAUUGGGAAUAAAGAAUUUUGGCGAUUGGGAUUUUGAUGGUGGUGAUUACAAUUGAAGACCCCAUUGCAGAGAUUAUUUUCAGAUACAACUUUGGACUUGCAUAUACUCUUAACCGAAUUCGAAUUUAUCUUUUAAUUGUACAAGAAAACAGAUAGAAAUGCACCAACGUAAUCCUACAAUUUUUUUAUUCAAUAGGCAAAAACUCCGGACUUUCUCUCGAAUGCUUUGAAUCUAAUAUCUAGUUACGAUUUUGGUAUUUCUGGUCCAUGCGAUUACGAAGGAUUUUGAAAGAUCAGCGUAAAUUGGGUUAAAUUGUUUUUCAUGCCUAUCUAGUUCUCUAAUUAUCAAGAGUAUAGAUUCGUGUACUGUGCUGUUGCAUGGUUAGUUAUUGCUGUUGUUUUCUCUAGAUUUGUGUAUGCUCAUGAAGAAGGGGAACUUUGUAGGUCAAGCUGGCUGAUCCAGACGUUGUGUCAAAUCCCAGUGAAUACCAGAAGCUUGCGCAGUCUGUGGCAGAGCUUGAUGAGGUGCUGCGGUUUAUCUUUGCUACUUAUCGUGCCAGGUUUUAGUUGUGUGUUCUGCACUUCUGCUUGAAUUUCUUUUCAGAUUUAACUGACAAUAUUUUGCCUUUGAUUUCAAUGGACAGGUCGUGACAAUCUAUAGGGAUUUCAAAGACUCCGAGAAGCAGUUAGAAGAGACUAAAGGUUUAUGUAACUAUAUGCCUGUGUAAAACAUUCCUUUCGGAAAAAUUAGAGGUAUUUACUAACAUUCAUUUUGAUAUUUUACCCCUCUUCAUAAUCGGUGAUUCAGCUUUAGCAAAAGAAGCUGGCAAUGAUGAGGAUAUGGCAGAGAUGAUAUCUUUUGAACUUGAAUCUUUAUCCAAUCAAAUCAAAGAACUUGAAGCGAAGCUCAAGGUAUUAUUACAUGCACAAUGGAUCAGUUUGGCAUUCUUAACUACUUUAACCGAAUAUUGUUGUUUCCAUUUUCUAAUGUUUUCCUUUCCAUAGUAGGAAUAUCAAUUGGGAUAAUGUUUCAUUUUAUAUUAACAGAUGCUACUCCUUCCUAGUGACCCUCUUGAUGCAAGAAAUAUAAUGCUUGAAGGUAAUCUCAUAGUUUCCCUUGAAAUAAACUAUUCUAUUGAUUGCUUGAGAACCACAUAUGAUGUUUAACCACGUAAAAUGCUCUCGAGUCUAGGAACAUCAUAUGUCCACACCAGAUUUGACUGAAGCUGUACCUUAUACAUUUGAAUUCUCUUUUUCUGCAGUAAGGGCUGGUACUGGUGGUGAUGAAGCUGGAAUCUGGGCAGGUGAUCUUGUAGGUAUAUGUUUCUUUUGUCAUUUAAAAUCUGUAGGAUACAUGACCAUUAUUUUUUAUUUGCAUAAACAGAAAAGUUGGUAAAAUAAAGAAAAACUCAUACUAUAUUCAUGGGGUAGGUUACAUAGUGCAUUGCGUAAACUUCAAAAGUCUUUGUUAUUGAUGUGCCUGUAUACUCUUUCUUCUCCUUUAUGUUUUAUUUUUCAAUGAUAGGCCUCAUUGGCAAAACCAACUAUUCUUGUGUUAUGAAAUCCUUCUUCUGAAGUUGCUUCCAAGCAUAUCUUAAUGCUUCUGCAUUUCUUUUGCUUUUCUAUUUUUUCGUACCAAGGUCCGUAUGUAUGAGAAGUACAGUGAGAGGAAUAAUUGGAGGUUCAGCACAGUCUCAAGCUCAGAGGUAUGCUUCACUGAUAUUUUUAGCGGUAUAUCCUGUUUCCGUUGACAUAGUGACAGAGCUCUUGCAUUAUUUUAGGCUGAAAGAGGAGGAUACAAGGCCUAUGUGAUGGAAGUCAAAGGAAAACGUGUAUACAGCAAAUUAAAAUAUGAAUCAGGUGUUCAUCGGGUUCAACGUGUUCCUCAUACAGAAACACAGGGUCGCGUGCAUACUUCCACUGCGACUGUUGCGAUCAUGCCAGAGGUAGCUUAUAUUUUACUUGUCACUGUAAUCUUUUAUGUACUCCAUGAUCAAACAUUUUCUGAUUCAUUGACUUAUUGUGCUUGUUCUGUGCCUUACUAUAGGCGGAUGAAGUUGAGGUGGUUAUCGACCCAAAAGAUAUUGAACUGACAACAGCAAGGUCUGGGGGAGCCGGAGGUAUUUAUGUGCAAAGAGUAUUAUUUUCUUAAUUAACACUAUUUUGCAUGUCUCACUCUUUAGAACAGGAUUUCCUAUGUGAGUUAAGUCUCAUGCAUGAUUAUCGUGCAGGGCAAAAUGUCAACAAGGUGGAGACAGCUGUUGAUCUUGUCCAUAAACCAACGGGCAUCCGCAUCUUUUGUAGUGAAGAAAGGUCUCAACUUCAGAACAAGCAUCGUGCUUUUCAGUUGCUGCGGGCAAAAUUGUGAGUACUGAUUUCUCUGUUUUAAAUGUCCUGAUAUUCUUAUUUUGUUAGUCACAUUAACUGUUCCUUUUACUAAACAUUUUGAAUUUUGCAUAAUAUUUUCGACAUAGCUUGACAUAUGCAUGUAAUCAACGCUAUUCACACAUAAUACCUCUUGUUUGCACACUUUUUCCUUGGUCCAUGAUGAUCAACGGCAUUGUUACAGGUAUAAGAUAAAAGUGAGAGAGCAGCAGGAGUUGAUUAGGAAUCAGCGGAAAUCGCAGGUAUCUUUUAGCUUAGAGAAUAGUUACGAGGCUCGUGAGAUUGCAACAUCUCUGUUCUAAACUUUUGCCAUCACAUAUAUGCAGUUCUUUGAUAUUAGGCUAUGCAAUGGGAACGCUAGAUUAUGGUUUUAGGGCCAGGACUAAACCAUGUGACAUUUGUAUUCUUAAAAUGCAGGUUGGUACUGGUUCUCGUGCAGAAAAGAUUCGGACAUACAACUUUAAGGUACUGGCAAUGAGUGAUUUAUGCUAACCAGUAACCAACGUGAGACUUGUGUUCAACAUUUUUGUCUCUGAGAUUUCUUUCAUUCGAUUGGUUAUGUUUCAGGAAGUUCACUUCUCUUGUUUAUUGAAUUAGGACAAUAGAGUGACCGACCAUCGGUUAAAGACAAACUAUGAGCUCACCUCUUUUCUUGGUGGCGAUAUAGAUAACGCAAUUCAGGUAUUUUUCCAGAGACAUGUCCUCCCUUCCUCUUAAUAAAUAUUUGUCAAAAGGAUUCGCCGAUACGAAUGCCUUGCAAUUGAUAUUCCUACUCUUCUUGCAGGCUUGUGCUUCCUUAGAACAGCAAGAACUCCUGGAAGAACUCGCUGAAUCUGUAGGAGCUCCGGCUGGCUAAUUUCUAGCUUGUUUUGUGGCAUUCUUGUUCGAGGAUUUACAGAGCCGGAUCAGGUGGUAAGGAAACCUUUGCUGGAACAAAUUAUUCAAAACGGGGCAAUAUUUUCGUAUGUUUUAUGUAGAGACGCAAUCACAGGCACAUGAGUUUUUUGUUAAAUUUGUUGUCGACAGGUUAAAUAGCCGAGUUAUGUAAUUUUUGUAUACAUGUAAAGUUGAGAGACUCGUGCAGCAAAAGAUGCCAUAAACACCUCCAUAUUUUCACUUUUCACAUUUAACAACAAAAAUGCCAACAAAGGAAAAAAUAAAGGAAAACUAACGAAAAGUUCAAAAAAUUUUUAAUUUAAAAUGAAAAAAUGACAAAUAAAGAGUAGGGAAUAAUAUCAGGAAAAGGUAAAAAUUUGGUUUUUCGUUAAAAAUGAAUAGUAUCGGGAAUGUUUUGUUAAAACUUUCAAGAAAUAAAAUGUAAAGGUUGUGAGGAAUUCAAGUGCAAAUAAAUAGGCGGACAAACUGUACCUCAGGGCCUUGUUAUGUGCCUUUUCCAAAAUGUACCUCAAGGUUCA